GACGUAGGGGGCGAGCGUUAUUCGGAAUUAUUGGGCGUAAAGCGCUCGUAGGCGGGACUGCAAGUCCGUGUUGAAAGACCUCGGCUCAACUGAGGGACCGGCUCGGAUACUGUGGUUCUUGAGGCAAUCAGAGGGUGAUGGAAUUCCCGGUGUAGCGGUGAAAUUCGUAGAUAUUCGGAAGAACACCAGUGGCGAAGGCGACUUACUGGUCCAUUACUGACGCUGAGGCUCGAAAGCGUGGGGAGCAAACAGG
rnacentral:rRNA from 1 species